AGAACACGUAGCGACUCCGAAGAUCAGCCCCAAUGAACAUGUCAGUGUUGACUUUACAAGAAUAUGAAUUCGAAAAGCAGUUCAACGAGAAUGAAGCCAUCCAAUGGAUGCAGGAAAACUGGCACAUGCAGGCAGCCUCUCUCAUCCUCUUAGAGUGCAGUUGGCAGGUCUCAGGAGGGCCUCAGACAGGUGGGAAAGCUCUGCUUUCUGCGCCUUGGUCCUGUCCUACGUUUUGUGAGGCUGGCUCCCUAAACCUUGGAUUUCAGUCAGACGCAGCUCCUCACCUUCAGUCAUCCUCAGUCCUGCUCCUCUUCCGGCUGGAGAUCACAACCGAGCUCUGGUGUGAUGUUUCCAGUUUGCCUUCCUGCUUGUGCCACUGCCGGUCUCUCCUGUUACUCAACGGCCUCCUCUUGAGCAUUAGAAUCUAAGUCUCAGGUUUGAUUACACCAUUUCUGUGCUUUAAAACUUUUAGUGAUUUCCCAUUGUUUACUGGAUGAAUACAAUUGUUUUGAGAAACUCUUCAACUCCCUGACCUUAAUAAAGUUACCUGCUUCUGUGGCCUGUCAGAAUCUAUUGUUCUGUCCCGUGGUUUGCUCUUCUAAAAAGAUUACUGUUUUUACUAAGUCUGUGCCCACCACAGUAUUUAUCAAUAGUUACACACAUUUGUGUAUUGACUGGAAGAAUAGAUAUGUACAUCGAUGCCCAGGGCUCUUGUCCAAGUAUCUGAUCGUUAUCUGAUUGAUCUUUUUAUUUCCUUAGUGGUGGAAGACUCUUCAGUGUCUUGAAAAAGCACAUCUUAAUUGUGU
rnacentral:lncRNA from 1 species